AAGUAUUAAGUAAUUAUAAUCAUGAUAAUUAUACAAUAUUAGAUAAGUUUCAAUACUUUAUUCUUAAUUUAUGUUUUUUUGUUUGUAGAAUUCUCAUUGGUUUGAGCAUGAUUCCCAGCCAGAUUAUGAAGCCAACUUAAGAAGGAAAUACAUAUAGCAUGUAUAGGUGACACUACUUAUCUCGCAUACCUGUAAAUUGUGAAACAGUGGAUUAAUUAAUAAUUUGGUGUUACUGACUUUGGUGUUUUUGGAAAUAACAAAUAGGGCUUACAGCAAUAUGCCAUGAUGUUGAUG
rnacentral:lncRNA from 1 species